rnacentral:rRNA from 1 species
GACGUAGGGCGCGAGCGUUGUCCGGAUUUAUUGGGCGUAAAGAGCUCGUAGGCGGCUUGUCGCGUCGUUCGUGAAAACCCACAGCUCAACUGUGGGCUUGCGGUCGAUACGGGCAGGCUAGAGUUCGGUAGGGGAGACUGGAAUUCCUGGUGUAGCGGUGAAAUGCGCAGAUAUCGGGAGGAACACCAGUGGCGAAGGCGACUACCUGGCCUGUUCUUGACGCUGAGGCGCGAAAGCUAGGGGAGCAAACGGG